UACGAAGGGUGCAAGCGUUACUCGGAAUUACUGGGCGUAAAGCGUGCGUAGGUGGUUUUUUAAGUCCGUUGUGAAAGCCCUGGGCUCAACCUGGGAAUGGCAGUGGAUACUGGAAAGCUAGAGUGCGGUAGAGGGUAGUGGAAUUCCCGGUGUAGCAGUGAAAUGCGUAGAGAUCGGGAGGAACACCAGUGGCGAAGGCGGCGACCUGGUCCGUGACUGACGCUGAGGCGCGAAAGCGUGGGGAGCAAACAGG
rnacentral:rRNA from 1 species